GUUUACAGCCAUGCCACCUUGAACAAGCCCAAUCCCAUCUCGGAAGCUAAGCAGGGUUGGGCCUGGUUAGUACUUGGAUGGGAGACCACCUAGGAAGACCAGGUGCUGUAGGCG
rnacentral:rRNA from 1 species